GACGAACGCUGGCGGCGUGCUUAACACAUGCAAGUCGAACGGAAAGGCCCUGCUUUUGUGGGGUGCUCGAGUGGCGAACGGGUGAGUAACACGUGAGUAACCUGCCCUUGACUUUGGGAUAACUUCAGGAAACUGGGGCUAAUACCGGAUAGGAGCUCCUGCUGCAUGGUGGGGGUUGGAAAGUUUCGGCGGUUGGGGAUGGACUCGCGGCUUAUCAGCUUGUUGGUGGGGUAGUGGCUUACCAAGGCUUUGACGGGUAGCCGGCCUGAGAGGGUGACCGGCCACAUUGGGACUGAGAUACGGCCCAGACUCCUACGGGAGGCAGCAGUGGGGAAUAUUGCACAAUGGGCGGAAGCCUGAUGCAGCAACGCCGCGUGCGGGAUGACGGCCUUCGGGUUGUAAACCGCUUUCGCCUGUGACGAAGCGUGAGUGACGGUAAUGGGUAAAGAAGCACCGGCUAACUACGUGCCAGCAGCCGCGGUGAUACGUAGGGUGCGAGCGUUGUCCGGAUUUAUUGGGCGUAAAGGGCUCGUAGGUGGUUGAUCGCGUCGGAAGUGUAAUCUUGGGGCUUAACCCUGAGCGUGCUUUCGAUACGGGUUGACUUGAGGAAGGUAGGGGAGAAUGGAAUUCCUGGUGGAGCGGUGGAAUGCGCAGAUAUCAGGAGGAACACCAGUGGCGAAGGCGGUUCUCUGGGCCUUUCCUGACGCUGAGGAGCGAAAGCGUGGGGAGCGAACAGGCUUAGAUACCCUGGUAGUCCACGCUGUAAACGGUGGGUACUAGGUGUGGGGUCCAUUCCACGGGUUCCGUGCCGUAGCUAACGCUUUAAGUACCCCGCCUGGGGAGUACGGCCGCAAGGCUAAAACUCAAAGGAAUUGACGGGGCCCCGCACAAGCGGCGGAGCAUGCGGAUUAAUUCGAUGCAACGCGUAGAACCUUACCUGGGUUUGACAUGGAUCGGGAGCGCUCAGAGAUGGGUGUGCCUCUUUUGGGGUCGGUUCACAGGUGGUGCAUGGCUGUCGUCAGCUCGUGUCGUGAGAUGUUGGGUUAAGUCCCGCAACGAGCGCAACCCUUGUUCACUGUUGCCAGCACGUUAUGGUGGGGACUCAGUGGAGACCGCCGGGGUCAACUCGGAGGAAGGUGGGGAUGACGUCAAGUCAUCAUGCCCCUUAUGUCCAGGGCUUCACGCAUGCUACAAUGGCUGGUACAGAGAGUGGCGAGCCUGUGAGGGUGAGCGAAUCUCGGAAAGCCGGCCUCAGUUCGGAUUGGGGUCUGCAACUCGACCUCAUGAAGUCGGAGUCGCUAGUAAUCGCAGAUCAGCAACGCUGCGGUGAAUACGUUCCCGGGGCU
rnacentral:rRNA from 1 species